GAACCAGACUCCUACGGGAGGCAGCAGUGAGGAAUAUUGGUCAAUGGGCGAGAGCCUGAACCAGCCAAGUCGCGUGAAGGAUGACGGCCCUACGGGUUGUAAACUUCUUUUGUCAGGGAGCAAUUGAGUCCACGUGUGGGCUUAGCGAGAGUACCUGAAGAAAAAGCAUCGGCUAACUCCGUGCCAGCAGCCGCGGUAAUACGGAGGAUGCGAGCGUUAUCCGGAUUUAUUGGGUUUAAAGGGUGCGUAGGCGGACAGUCAAGUCAGCGGUAAAAAUGCGGUGCUCAACGCCGUACAGCCGUUGAAACUGGCAGUCUUGAGUGGGCGAGAAGUAUGCGGAAUGCGUGGUGUAGCGGUGAAAUGCAUAGAUAUCACGCAGAACUCCGAUUGCGAAGGCAGCAUACCGGCGCCCUACUGACGCUGAGGCACGAAAGCGUGGGUAUCGAACAGGAUUAGAUACCCCCGUA
rnacentral:rRNA from 1 species